GGAUAAGAAUGUAGCCCCCACUGAGAAUACAUGACGGUCUGUUUCUGCUUUGAAGUAAUCUGUGGCACAGGAAAAGACACUUUCAGGAUGUGACUAAGCUUCCAGAUCUUGAAAUGAAGAUGUUAUCUUGGACUAUCUCCACUCAAUAUAAUCGCAUGAAUCCUUAGAAGUGCAAGAGGGAGAAAGCUGUCUGAGCCACUGUCAUGGCUCUGUUCUAAGGCUUUGGCCUGAAGUCCAUGUGUGGCUCCCAAUUCUAGACUGGCCACCACCAGGAAGAAAAGACUGCGCAUCACAAUACAGGAUUGCAGCAAGUAUAGCGUUUUGCCUCAAAGUCUUUAAUUAAAAGUUGCACCCUUAGACUAUAA